UUCAUGAAUUGCUUGGAAUGGCUUUAAACUGCAUGUAUCACAUUUGACCUUUCAUGUAUUUACAUGUAAUUACAUGUAAUAUUGUAUAACAUGUACCCCACCCUUGCUGGAUCCAUUUUUUAAAUAUUCAGCUGUCGAGCAGUUGUGUAAAUUGUUAAUUUUUUAGAAAACUUGAAAAAUAUUGCUGUUUCACUAAUGCUUUAUGCUUAAUUUGACUAACUUUUCUGAUUCAUUUUCAUUUAAGCACUGUAGAGGAUUUUCAUCUUUCAGCUUCCUCGGCCCCGGGAGAGGUUGGUACUUGAUCCGCAUGAGCAUUUUCUCUAUAUAAGAAGAAGACGGAGACUCGCUAUCCACCUGAUGUAUUUUGUUGGACAGUUUUCUGUACUUUGCAGUCACAACUAUAUCCAGGUCUGAUCACAGGAAUGAAAUUUACUCAUUCCCUGGAACACUACUUGCAGCAGGGAGGUGUCAUUAAUUAAGAUGGUCACAGUUUCCAAGACACUGAAGUGACAGGCCUCAAAUUUCACACAUGAACAUUGCACUGUAGAGGAUUUUCAUCUUUCAGCUUCCUCGGCCCCGGGAGAGGUUGGUACUUGAUCCGCAUGAGCAUUUUCUCUAUAUAAGAAGAAGACGGAGACUCGCUAUCCACCUGAUGUAUUUUGUUGGACAGUUUUCUGUACUUUGCAGUCACAACUAUAUCCAGGUCUGAUCACAGGAAUGAAAUUUACUCAUUCCCUGGAACACUACUUGCAGCAGGGAGGUGUCAUUAAUUAAGAUGGUCACAGUUUCCAAGACACUGAAGUGACAGGCCUCAAAUUUCACACAUGAACAUUGGUAGGUAUAAGGUCUUUGAAAAUAACAAAAUUGACUACUUCUGGGAUAGGUCAAUAUGUAAGUAUAGGAAUGAGAGUACCAAAUCCCCGGAUGUACACGUGGUUUUGUUUGUUACACAAAGUAGUAUAGAGUACUGAAUAGUGUGUGUUACCCGAUUGGCUGAAUUCAGGUAUAUAAUUAUUUUCAUUUUAAAGUAAAAAUAUUAAUGUUUGAAAUAAAUGAUGGAAUGUAGGAAUAUUACAGAAAAUAUAGAAGUACCAGGGGAGAUUGUAGGAGUGGGGGUUGAUAUUUUUGGCAUAGUGUCAUUUACUGCCGAUCGCUAUAAGUUGUAAACAACAGCAAUUUUGACCUAU